rnacentral:rRNA from 1 species
GUGGAUUAGAUACCCUAGUAGUCCACGCCGUAAACGAUGAUAACUAGCUGUCCGGGCACAUGGUGUUUGGGUGGCGCAGCUAACGCAUUAAGUUAUCCGCCUGGGGAGUACGGUCGCAAGAUUAAAACUCAAAGGAAUUGACGGGGGCCUGCACAAGCGGUGGAGCAUGUGGUUUAAUUCGAAGCAACGCGCAGAACCUUACCAGCCUUUGACAUCCUGGUCGCGGAUUUGAGAGAUCAUUUCCUUCAGUUCGGCUGGACCAGUGACAGGUGCUGCAUGGCCGUCGCCAACU